GUGCCAGCAGCCGCGGUAAGACAGAGGUGGCUAGCGUUGUUCGGAUUUAUUGGGCGUAAAGCGAACGCAGGUGGUUUGGUAAGUCAGGGGUGAAAUUCCACAGCUUAACUGUGGCAUUGCCUUUGAUACUGCCUUUCUUGAGUGCAUGAGGGGGAAGCGGAAUUCCGAGUGUAGAGGUGAAAUUCGUAGAUAUUCGGAGGAACACCGGUGGCGAAGGCGGCUUCCUGGCAUGUAACUGACACUCAUGUUCGAAAGCGUGGGUAGCAAACAGGAUUAGAUACCCGCGUAGUCC
rnacentral:rRNA from 1 species